AAUGAAUUUCUCAACACAAGGUAAUUGAACCCAGGUCAACUGCUUGAAAGGCAGCUAUGCUCACCAUUAUACCACUGUCAC
rnacentral:tRNA from 1 species